ensembl:miRNA gmo-mir-11929 gmo-mir-11929
UUCGUUGCAGAAGGCUUGUAGAUAACACAUUUGACCUACAGGCCGUCUGUAAUGACA